rnacentral:rRNA from 1 species
AUGUGGUUUAAUUCGAUGCAACGCGAAAAACCUUACCUACCCUUGACAUGUCUGGAAUCCUGAAGAGAUUUGGGAGUGCUCGAAAGAGAGCCAGAACACAGGUGCUGCAUGGCCGUCGUCAGCUCGUGUCGUGAGAUGUUGGGUUAAGUCCCGCAACGAGCGCAACCCUUGUCAUUAGUUGCUACGAAAGGGCACUCUAAUGAGACUGCCGGUGACAAACCGGAGGAAGGUGGGGAUGACGUCAGGUCAUCAUGGCCCUUAUGGGUAGGGCUACACACGUCAUACAAUGGCCGGGACAGAGGGCUGCCAACCCGCGAGGGGGAGCUAAUCCCAGAAACCCGGUCGUAGUCCGGAUCGUAGUCUGCAACUCGACUGCGUGAAGUCGGAAUCGCUAGUAAUCGCGUAUCAGCUUGCCGCGGUGAAUACGUUCCCGGGUCUUGUACACACCGCCCGU